rnacentral:tRNA from 1 species
GGGAGGGUAGUCUAGCUUGGUAUGAUUCCUGGUUUGGGACCAGGAGGCCGUGGGUUCAAAUCCCAUCCCUCCCACCA